GUCUAUGGCCAUGCCACCCUAAAAGUGCCCUAUCGUCUGAUCUCGGAAGCUAAGCAGGGUUUGGCCUGGUUAGUACUUGGAUGGGAGACCACCUAGGAAUACCAGGUGCUAUAGGCA
rnacentral:rRNA from 1 species